CCCCUCCAAGAAUUUGUAAACUAGUGAUAAUCUGUAAAGUUUGAGAGGAAAAUAAUACCUAAUAAUUGCCCCUGGGUAAUCAGCCCCCCCCCCCCAAUACAAAAUUGCUUCAUAUGAUAGUGUCAGCAUACAGAACACAUGCACAGUGUAAUAAUAAUAAUAAUAUCUCGAUUACGGCAUUAAUUGCUACGAUUUAAAGAAUUACUUUGGAAAAACGUUUGGUUGAAGGUAGAAAAGUGAUGUUACAAUGCUGAUUUUGACAACAAAUUUUUUAGUUUAUUUUGAACUUCUGCAUCUCAUGAUCAUUGAUAAACAGCACAACAAAAUAAUUUGUUAUUGAUACACAGUGUAUUAGCUAGAGAUGUUACCCUUAAAAAGUACUCCUCUCUCUAAAUUAUGUUCACUUUUAACAAACGUUUUUUAGUUUCACAAACAUAAUAUAUAUUCACUUAUUUAAACAUUGAUAUUAUAUUCCUUGCUGACAUAAUGUGAGAAUGAUCCCCAAGUUUUCUCAGUUCUUUUUCAUUCUCAUACCUUGUCCUUUAUCUUCUUUUCCUUUUGCCCCCUCAUUUUCCUUUUGCCCUUUCCUUUCUUUUCCCCUUUGUUCUCUUCUUUUCUCUCUUUCUUUUCUUUUCCUUCCCUUCCUUUGUUUUUAAUCUUCUUUGAAUUUCUUCCCUGGGCC